rnacentral:rRNA from 1 species
UGCCAGCCGCCGCGGUAAUACGUACCGGACAAACGUUAUUCGGAAUCACUGGGCUUAAAGAGUACGUAGGCUGCCUUGAAGGUGAGGUGUGAAAUCCCACGGCCCAACCGUGGAACUGCGUUUGAAACUACAAGGCUUGAGGGAGAUAGGGGUGAGCGGAACUGAUGGUGGAGCGGUGAAAUGCGUUGAUAUCAUCAGGAACACCGGUGGCGAAGGCGGCUCACUGGGUCUCUUCUGACGCUGAGGCACGAAAGCUAGGGGAGCGAACGGGAUUAGAUA